rnacentral:rRNA from 1 species
CCUACGGGAGGCAGCAGUGAGGAAUAUUGGUCAAUGGGCGAGAGCCUGAACCAGCCAAGUCGCGUGAGGGAAGACGGUCCUAUGGAUUGUAAACCUCUUUUGCCGGGGAGCAAAAAGCGGUACGUGUACCGCAUCGAGAGUACCCGGAGAAAAAGCAUCGGCUAACUCCGUGCCAGCAGCCGCGGUAAUACGGAGGAUGCGAGCGUUAUCCGGAUUUAUUGGGUUUAAAGGGGGCGCAGAGGGCGAGUUAAGUCAGCGGUAAAAUUUCGGGGCUCAACCCCGACAAGCCGUUGAAACUGGCGUGCUAGAGUGGGCGAGAGGUAGGCGGAAUGCGUGGUGUAGCGGUGAAAUGCAUAGAUAUCACGAAGAACUCCGAUUGCGAAGGCAGCAUACCGGCGCCCAACUGACGCUCAGGCACGAAAGCGUGGGUAUCGAACAGGAUUAGAUACCCCUGUAGUC